ensembl:lncRNA
AACAACUGUUGCCGCAAUUAUUAGAAAAUGAAAGAAGUUCAAGAUAAUGGUUAAUCUCCGUCGGUCUGGGGCUCCAUGCAAGACAUCACCUCGUGGGCCAUCAAUGAUCAUGAGAAAGCGCAGGCAAGGUCCCCCUGCUCAAGCCAGCGGCCUGUCCAGGCCUGAAGUUUGCCAAGGACCAUCUGGAUGAUCAAGAGGAGGAUAAUUAUAUCCCCUGAAGGCAGAAGAAAGCUGAGAGACGUCAAGGAAAACCAUUUUGAGAUGGAUAUUAUCCGCUUCACUGACCGCUGUUCUUCACGGUCCAUCGGACAAUCAAGUUUUCCAACCUCCAAUCUGUGGUGAACAUUACCCUGCCAAUGACAGCCCUCACGUGACUCUUGAU